AAGCUCGAAAACACAAGAGUCAGCGGAAGCAACAAUAUCUGAGUACAGACAUAGGUUAGACAAGUUGCCUUAAGAAGGCUAGCACAACAGCAGCAACAAUCGAAAAGGCAAGGCCUCCUGCCUGGGAGCCUCCUAACUACUCCUGGUCGUCGGCGGCCUGCACGUAGUAGUAGGCACCCUCGGGGUAGUAGUAGUCGUCGGUGGUGUCGUCUGGAUCCUGGGCUCCACCAUCUGGUUGCGACAACCAGAAAGAAGAAGGAAGGGGGAAAAGGGGAAGCAAAGCAACCGUGAGUACUCAUCCAAAGUACUCGCAAGCAAGGAUCUACACUACAUAUGCAACAUUAUCAAAGGAAGGUUGUACGUGUGGACUGGGCUGCAGAAAUGCCAGAAUAGAGAGAAGGCCUAGUCCUAUCGAAGACUAGCAUCUUCUGGAAACCACCAUCUUGCAGCAACCGGAGGGAGUAGAGUAGCAUAAAGUAAAGUAGUAGAAGUGUUAUCAACCUCGGCCAGAGAUCCUUUCUCGACUCCCUGCGAGAAAGCAAUCCUAGAGCCAUACUAUCCAGUUAUCAUCAAAUUCAAUUCUCAUCACCAUCCAAUUUUCAUCACAAGUAUCCAGUUCUAGUUGUAUCGAUCGGGAUACAACUCCAAGUGUCCGUUACCGUAGGACAGGCUAUGCAUAGAUUAGUUCUUCCCUGCAGGGGUGCACCAACUUACCCACCACGCUCGCUUAACUCCGGCCGGACACACUUUCCUGGGUCAUGCCCGGCCUCGGCCAAACAAUACGCCGCAACCCGACCUAGACUUAACAGAGAGGUCAGCACGCCGGACUAAACCUAUGCCCCCAGGGGUCAUGGGCCAUCUCCCCGGGAACUCCUGCACGUUGCGUACGCGGCCGGUGAGCAGACCUAGCUACCUCCUUGAAAAAGGUAGGAGCUUACCAGUCCAACCCGGCGCGCGCCACUCAGUCGCUGACGUCUAUUAAGCUUCGGCUGAUGUAUACGACGCAGAACGCCCAUACUAUGCCCACGUGAUGGUUAGUGCUAUCAGGCCAGAGGCCCCUCGGAUCAAAUAUCCAAAUCGUAGUGGAUUAGGAGCACGCGGUAACAAGCAGAGACUCACGAAAGAUGUGACCCCGUUGCCCCGUCUCGAGGACUUGCGGCAAGGGCUAGGAAUGCCCGGCCACGCCUCGUAAUUAUCUCGCGGGCACCUUCCAGGUCAACCCGACUCCACAUCACUCGCGGGUACCCCUCAGGGUCGACCCGCCUUUCCAAGUAACAGCUGUAAAGUCCAAGGAUCAGUGUAUCCAAAACAUUAAGGGGAAAACCCGAGGAAUCACCCCCGGUGAAUUCCACUCGAUGUAAUCAUCAAGGUGAACGUAAGAGGAAUCACCCCCGAGGUUCACACUUGAGGGGUUGCACGACAGAGUCGUAUCAGAAGUGGUUAAAGAGGAAAUCACCCUCGAUGACCACGACCGAAUAACUACACUACAGGGUUAACAUCCGAAGUGCUGUAGAGGUGUCACCCUCGGCACUCGAUAGUAACCUAGUAGUGUCGAGCAACUAAGGGGAAAGUGAUGUGAGUGCCGGGGUCUGGUCUUCGAUCCCGUUGAUCGGGUCUUCUAUGAUGAAGCAGGGGCAACAAGGACAAGGUGUGGGGUCACUGAUGGAUCACUAACCAACCUAUACUAAGCAGUUUAGGAUAAGCAGGUAGGUAACAAUAGCAGGUUACAAUAAACAGGCUAUGCAGCAGAAUAGGAGCAAACAAUAACAGUAACAAAAUCUAAUGCAAGCAUGAGAGAAUGGAAUGGGCGAUAUCGGGAUGAUCAAAGGGGGGGCUUGCCUGGUUGCUCUGGCAAGAAGGGGUCGUCGUCGACAUAGUCGAUCACAGGGGCGACAUCGGUCUCGGGGUCUACCGGAGAGAAGAGGGGGAAGAAACAGUAAAUAUAAAGCAGGCAUAGCAUCACAAAGCAUAACAUGGCAAUAAGCUGUGCCGGGUGUGACCUAACUUAAGGCUACACGAUAUAGGAGAGGGGGAAACCAACCGGGAAUGUACUCCCGGUUCCGGACCUGUGUCAGACAAAUGAUCAGAGAUGGAAUGUUCCAUGUUCAGAUAGUUAGAGGCAUCUAACAGGUAAACGGACCGCGUAUCCGGAUUCAUUGGAUUUUACUGAGCAACUUUCAUGUAGAAAACAUUUUCAUCCGAGCUACGGUUUAUUUUCUAUGAUUAUUCAAAGUUUUAAACAUAUUCUGGAUUUAUUUAUUUUAACAGAAAUGGAAAAUGACGUCAGCAUGACGUAGGAGUGACAUUAGCAGUCAACAGUCCGGUUGACUGGUCAAAACUGACACGGGGGACCCACCUGUCAUUGACAGGGGGCUAACAAUGGGUUAUUUUAAUUGAACAGGGGUUAGUUAGCAGUUGGCCCCCACAUGUCAGUGACUAAUUAGUCUAACAAGUUAAUUUUACUUAUAAAAACGUUUAAUUAGCCUAAUUAUGGGUGUGGGCCCCAUUAGUCAGUGGUUGGGGGAAUAGCAUCCCGCGUUGACCAUGGUCAACGCGGUCAAACACAGGCGCAGGGGCCCACUGUCAGCGGCAUUGGGCGGGGCCCACCGCUACCAGGUCAGCGUGGCGGCCGGAGGAACACCGGCGGCCAUUUCUUGCGGCGGUGCGGCUCGGGAUCCACCGGAAAAUGGCCAUAGGCCAUCAUUUUGGACGCGGAUGGCCGCGUUUGAACGUGCACGAGACGGCACAUCCAGCGGUGGCACUAGCACGACCGGAGAUGGACUAAAAUGACGGCGGCGAGUAGCGAGGCGGACGCCGGAGAUCGGGCAGCGACGGAAACAGAGCUAGAGGGCGCAGGGAGACGAGCUAGAGGCUCGGGCGGCACCAGGGAGACACCCUGAGCACGCUCGUGUGCUCGGAUGAGCAUGACGACGCCCACAGCGACGACGGUGUGCUAUGCGGCGGAGCUGAGCUCGGCCAUGGCAGACGCGGUGGCUACAGGGGCGCACGAGUCCAGGGGAGCGAGGGAAGGGGAAUAGGGGCUCACCGCGCGGCGCAAGAAAGGCCUGUGGUAGUUUAGGAGCAGCAGGAGUCUACGGUGUUCGUCGGGGAAGAAGGGGAUCGCCGGCAACCCGAGGAAGACGACGACGUGGUCGACGACGCAGAGCUCCUCGGCUCCUUCCAGCGGCAUCAGAAGACGCGGCAGUCCACGGCGAUGCCGAGGAGCACGGCCAGGCCGCGUCGAAGGCACGGUGGCCGCGGAGAUGACGAAGACGCGGCGGCGAUGGCGCUCGGAGCAGAUGGAGAGAGCUCGAGAGGGGAUCUGGUGGGGAGAGGCAGAGGCAGAGAGGAGUGGGAGUGGCCGUAGGUGAUGGGAGGGGUACUCAAGGCGUCAGGGCGUGGAGGCCUUAUCCUCCCCGCGGCGCCUGUAGCAGCAUGGCCGGCGAGGUGGGUUCGGCAGCGACGGGCGCGCUGUAGCGACUCGGGUCGUGGAACAGUGCGAGGGGGAGACGACCGGGGAGGGGGAGUGGGCUGGCCAGCUGGAGUGGGCCGGCCCAGGUGGGUGUAGUCCAGGGAGGAGGGGGGUUGCCCUCUCUCUCUCCCUUUUCCUUUUCUGUUAGUUUUCCUUUUUAUUUAUUUUCAGUAGCUUAUGCAUUUUCCUUUUUACCAAUAAUGACUUUGCAAAAUUAUGCCACUGACCAAAACAAUUUCAAAGAAUUAAAGUGCACUGCCACAAAAAGGAUGGGAGGCUUUUGGAAUAGUUGCCAAUUUUAUAAAUUAAAAAGGGCAUUUAAUUUAUUGCUUUGGUCACUGUUUUAAGUAGUUUAGGCCACUUAAACCCUUUGCAAAAAUGUUGGCUCACCACCAAUAUUAGUUGUGGAAUAUUUGGCACAUGAUGAACAUUUCUGUUUUCAUGUUUGAUAAAUUUUUAAUUUCCCUCAUAAUUUGAAUUUGAAUUUGACUUUGAUUUUUCAUCAAGUGAUAAUUAUCUCAGUAAGCAUGGUGACCUGGCACCAUUAACAGGGGAUUACUGUAACAUGACACUGAGGGUGUUACAAAUCUCCUCCACUACAAGAAAUCUCGUCCCGAGAUUUAAGGGGUGUAGUAGGGGGAAAGACUCGGAAAGGACGGAGCUCAACACAAGAUAGUUACCUGGGGACUAUCUCAAUGAACAUUGCAAAGAGGCAUCUCUCGAGUUGAAAUUCAAGGAAGUCAUCAAGAGCAAGGUAAGAAGGUACAAUAGAAAGUUUCAAGCGAAUGGACAAACGAUUGAUACCUGAACUGAGUGUGAGAAAGGGGUUCAGGGCAUCGGGAAUAGAUCAUCUCUCCGAAGGUGGCUCGUGACAUGAUACGAAGCCAAAUGCAAGAAUAUUUCGGAAUCAAAGAUAUACAAGAGAGUCAGGUUUCGAUCUUGUGGAAAUGUGGGUUAUGGGCCCACCAUGUGGGUUAAAAGUAGAAAGGGGCCGAUAGCAACACAUGUCAGAUGAUAGACUGUCAGUUAUGUUGCCAACAACGCUGGUACCAAGGGCGAGGGACGAAGAGAACCAUUUUCCUGCUCGUUAAAACAAGGCGGACCAAUAGGCAAAGUUCUCGUCCAUUGGGGUUUACCGGAAUGUCACCAACAUUAAUAACAGGGUCGUACCGACUGAUUUGUACCUCGAGGUGUUUCCAUAAGUAGGGGAUUAUUUCUGCUUAUAACAUAUAUAGAUCACCAGAAAGGUUAAACAAACCAAUGGAAAGGAAAAUGUGUUUAAACACAAGAUUUAGGAAUGUAACUUUCCCAAGGAAAGGCGGAGCAUGAUAUACAUGACAGGGCUCCAAGUAUGAAACCAUUUAGACAAAGGGGCAAGGAAUUUAUGAGGUUUACCCAUACCAUGGUGUUUGGAUAAUUGAACAAGAAGCAUUUAGCAUUUCAAUUCAAAUGUUCAUGUUGAUAUUCGGAAUACCACAGUCAUGCUUUGAGAUAGCACUGAUAUGGUGUUUCAAUUAACGAUUGGGUAUGUAGAUCAUAAGAGAUUCAAAUCCAAGAUUAUCUCGGAACGUAAGGUAUAACCAAACACGAUCAGGUCUGUGUUGGCAGGAAUUCAAGGACGUUGUCAAUGAUAACCCAAUCAUCGAGGGGCGAGGAUGGCAUUUCUCAUCAUGAAUUCGGUUGAUAUCCUGAAACAGGUCAGUAUAUUGAUGGGGAUCACGACAGAUUUUGUUGAGGUACUAUGAAGAGGCCAUCGAACAGCGACGACAUCAAGCAAAAGGAAUGAUGAAGCGAAAGGUUAUUGGAACCACGGAUGUGACACAAGCUCGAAAAUCAAGCUUGUUGUUUGAGGUGAAAUGACAAGAUGAGGAAGGUCGACGUAAGCUUAGCUCGUCGUCGGAAGUUGUGUUCCGGGAAGAAGGACCGGGUAGCACAGUUAAAAUUAGCUCGAUAAUGAUAUAGCCGACCAGGAUAGGAAUGAUGUGAUGAAGUAUCAUUCCAAUGAGAAUUCACAAGAGGUAGUGCAAUGACACAAUAUCCUCGAGAUAAUAGGGGGCAAUACUCGAGGUAGAUCAAAAAUAGAGGUUAGACAUAUGAAAUGAUCUGCAGAAGACAAGUAUUUUAACUUGUCCGGGAAAUGGAGUUAAGGAGAAACUAUGGUCGGAACCACGGUUACGAAUGGUCAAACCACCGAUACAAGAUGAACUUAUAACAAGGGGUAAUCAUUUCUGCAAGCAGCUUCCACGAUAAGUUCUACAUCGGGUCCAUGGGCAUGAACACAAGGGUUCAAGGUCGGCUCCCACUUCUUCAAUGCAUAACCUUUCAUUCACUCCUCAUUUUUCGAAGAAAUUGUAGUGCAGAGGAUUUAUCUGGCGAAGUACCAGAAGAGUAAGACUCGUGAGAACUCUCGGGUUCACUCGGCUUAUGGAAGGCAUAAGUUCAACCCAUCGGGGCAUUUUUACGAAUCUAUACAACCAUCAACCAAGCAAAAGAUACGAGUUCAAAAGCAGAGUAUCGGAGUCAAAGCAGAUGAUACAAUUUACCGAAGGUAUUAUGUAUCAGGGGAAAACUCACAAGACUUUGGAUGUGAAGGACAUUGUUGGAUAACAACCCAGCACUGGAUCUGGCGAUUCAUGACAGAGUUGAUGUGAGUAUCGGUAAUCAAUCAGAUGAAGAAGGGGAUGCAAAGGCAUCGGCUUAUAGAAACGUCUGAAUGAUUCGAUGCAUGGAUACAAAGGAAAUUAUGAUUUCAAGACGAAGGAUCAGAAGCAGAGGCUCUGAUCAAAAGAUGUAUAAGUUGAAUAGACUUAGAGGUGUACCCGAUCAAAUCUGGAUUGGGCAAGAACCAGCUCAUAUCUGGAAGGAUGUCUAAGCCGGAAAGAAAUUUUCGAAAGAUUAAUUGAUGAUUGUGAGUAAUCGCACACACGCUGUUUCCAUAGGAACAGAAUGACAAUCACAAAGAAUUCUAAAGAAUAUUGCUAGACAUAUGGAAUUAAUCCUAAUGCAAGCAGGCAAGGAGAAUCAAGAGCAAUAGGCUACAGAGGAAUUUGAAAGAUCAGAUAGCCUUUUCAGGUAUUUUGGAAAGCAAAUGAACAACUAGGGAUGAACGAACCCCCGUUAAGUGAAUUAUCCGCAGUUCGAAAAGAAGCUGCAAAGGAGAAGGCACAAAGGAUUCUCGGAACAACGGAGAGUACUAGUGGUAUCUUGUAAUAACAGGAGCAACUAGGGAUGAAGGUACAAGCGGCAAGGAUGUUAUUCAGGGGGAUUAUCGAAGGUAGGGAAUUGCAAAAGCGACGGGCGCAAAGUCUCGAGAGAACAUCGGAGAGUAUCUUCGAAAUCUUCAGGUGCAGCAGGCGAUCAUUUGUAAUAAGGGGCUCUCCGGGAGGAAGUAGAUACGUGACCCUAAUGUUAAAGUUAGCAAAAUUGUUUAACCCGAAUAGAAGAGAUGUCAGAGUCCCAGAGUAUAGACGAGGAGUAAAAGAUCCUAAUACCACCCAAUGGCAAUGUGGGGCCAUAAGCCGCACAACCAUGUUAGUAAAAGUUUUGUAAAGUCUAGACUCGACUUCGGCCAAGGAGUGUGGAAGGGGGAUUCCUACAGGCAGUCGGCUCUGAUACCAACUUGUGACGCCCUCGAUUCAAUCGUACACUAAUCAUACACGCAAAUGUGUACGAUCAAGAUCAAGGACUCACGGGAAGAUAUCACAACACAACUCUAGACACAAAUUAAAAUAAUACAAGCUUUAUAUUACAAGCCAGGGGCCUCGAGGGCUCGAAUACAUUAGCUCGAAAACACAAGAGUCAGCGGAAGCAACAAUAUCUGAGUACAGACAUAGGUUAGACAAGUUGCCUUAAGAAGGCUAGCACAACAGCAGCAACGAUCGAAAAGGCAAGGCCUCCUGCCUGGGAGCCUCCUAACUACUCCUGGUCGUCGGCGGCCUGCACGUAGUAGUAGGCACCCUCGGGGUAGUAGUAGUCGUCGGUGGUGUCGUCUGGAUCCUGGGCUCCACCAUCUGGUUGCGACAACCAAAAAGAAGAAGGAAGGGGGAAAAGGGGAAGC
rnacentral:lncRNA from 1 species